rnacentral:rRNA from 1 species
CAGAUUAGGUAGUAACAACCAUUUGAGUCUGGGAUUUCUGAAUGGGGAAACCCACGUGCAUAAGCACGUAUCCUUACCUGAAUACAUAGGGUAAGGAGGCGAACCGGGGGAACUGAAACAUCUAAGUACCCCGAGGAAAAGAAAUCAACCGAGAUUCCGAAAGUAGCGGCGAGCGAAAUUGGACUAGCCCUUAAGCUUUACACGCGUUAGACGAACGGUCUGGAAAGUCCGACGAUACAGGGUGAUAGUCCCGUAGUUGACGACGUGUGUUCAGUGAAAUCGAGUAGGGCGGGACACGUGAUAUCCUGUCUGAAUAUGGGGGGACCAUCCUCCAAGGCUAAAUACUACUGACUGACCGAUAGUGAACCAGUACCGUGAGGGAAAGGCGAAAAGAACCCCUGUGAGGGGAGUGAAAUAGAACCUGAAACCGUGUACGUACAAGCAGUAGGAGCAGGCUUUGUCCU